rnacentral:piRNA from 1 species
AUACUCAACAGGACCAAGAUUUUUCAUC